UACAGAGGGGGCAAGCGUUAUUCGGAAUUAUUGGGCGUAAAGGGCGCGUAGGCGGCUUUGCAAGUGACGGGUGAAAUCCCUCGGCUUAACCGAGGAACUGCCUGUCAAACUGCAUGGCUUGAGACCGGGAGAGGUGAGUGGAAUUCCCAGUGUAGCGGUGAAAUGCGUAGAUAUUGGGAGGAACACCAGUGGCGAAGGCGGCUCACUGGACCGGUACUGACGCUGAUGCGCGAAAGCGUGGGGAGCAACAG
rnacentral:rRNA from 1 species